AGCGUACACGGUGGAUGCCCUGGCAGUCAGAGGCGAUGAAGGACGUGCUAAUCUGCGAAAAGCGCCGGCGAGGUGAUAUGAACCUUUGACCCGGCGAUGUCCGAAUGGGGAAACCCAGUGUGUUCCGACACACUAUCGUUAACUGAAUACAUAGGUUAACGAGGCGAACCGGGGGAACUGAAACAUCUAAGUACCCCGAGGAAAAGAAAUCAACCGAGAUUCCCCCAGUAGCGGCGAGCGAACGGGGAGCAGCCCGGAGUCUGAAUCAGCUUGUGUGUUAGUGGAACGGUCUGGAAAGUCCGACGGUACAGGGUGAUAGUCCCGUACACGAAAAUGCACAUGCUGUGAACUCGAAGAGUAGGGCGGGACACGUGGUAUCCUGUCUGAAUAUGGGGGGACCAUCCUCCAAGGCUAAAUACUCCUGACUGACCGAUAGUGAACCAGUACCGUGAGGGAAAGGCGAAAAGAACCCCGGCGAGGGGAGUGAAAAAGAACCUGAAACCGUGUACGUACAAGCAGUGGGAGCACCUUCGGGUGUGACUGCGUACCUUUUGUAUAAUGGGUCAGCGACUUAUAUUCUGUAGCAAGGUUAACCGUAUAGGGGAGCCGAAGGGAAACCGAGUCUUAACUGGGCGUUAAGUUGCAGGGUAUAGACCCGAAACCCGGUGAUCUAGCCAUGGGCAGGUUGAAGGUUGGGUAACACUAACUGGAGGACCGAACCGACUAAUGUUGAAAAAUUAGCGGAUGACCUGUGGCUGGGGGUGAAAGGCCAAUCAAACCGGGAGAUAGCUGGUUCUCCCCGAAAGCUAUUUAGGUAGCGCCUCGUGAACUCAUCUUCGGGGGUAGAGCACUGUUUCGGCUAGGGGGCCAUCCCGGCUUACCAACCCGAUGCAAACUACGAAUACCGAAGAAUGUUAUCACGGGAGACACACGGCGGGUGCUAACGUCCGUCGUGAAGAGGGAAACAACCCAGACCGCCAGCUAAGGUCCCAAAGUCAUGGUUAAGUGGGAAACGAUGUGGGAAGGCACAGACAGCCAGGAUGUUGGCUUAGAAGCAGCCAUCAUUUAAAGAAAGCGUAAUAGCUCACUGGUCGAGUCGGCCUGCGCGGAAGAUGUAACGGGGCUAAACCAUGCACCGAAGCUGCGGCAGCGACGCUUAUGCGUUGUUGGGUAGGGGAGCGUUCUGUAAGCCGUUGAAGGUGUGCUGUGAGGCAUGCUGGAGGUAUCAGAAGUGCGAAUGCUGACAUAAGUAACGAUAAAGCGGGUGAAAAGCCCGCUCGCCGGAAGACCAAGGGUUCCUGUCCAACGUUAAUCGGGGCAGGGUGAGUCGACCCCUAAGGCGAGGCCGAAAGGCGUAGUCGAUGGGAAACAGGUUAAUAUUCCUGUACUUGGUGUUACUGCGAAGGGGGGACGGAGAAGGCUAUGUCAGCCGGGCGACGGUUGUCCCGGUUUAAGCAUGUAGGCGGAGGUUCCAGGUAAAUCCGGUACCUUAUUAACGCUGAGGUGUGAUGACGAGGCACUACGGUGCUGAAGUGAUAAAUGCCCUGCUUCCAGGAAAAGCCUCUAAGCAUCAGGUAACACGAAAUCGUACCCCAAACCGACACAGGUGGUCAGGUAGAGAAUACCAAGGCGCUUGAGAGAACUCGGGUGAAGGAACUAGGCAAAAUGGUGCCGUAACUUCGGGAGAAGGCACGCUGAUAUGUAGGUGAAGCCCCUGCGGGCGGAGCUGAAAUCAGUCGAAGAUACCAGCUGGCUGCAACUGUUUAUUAAAAACACAGCACUGUGCAAACACGAAAGUGGACGUAUACGGUGUGACGCCUGCCCGGUGCCGGAAGGUUAAUUGAUGGGGUUAGCGGCAACGCGAAGCUCUUGAUCGAAGCCCCGGUAAACGGCGGCCGUAACUAUAACGGUCCUAAGGUAGCGAAAUUCCUUGUCGGGUAAGUUCCGACCUGCACGAAUGGCGUAAUGAUGGCCAGGCUGUCUCCACCCGAGACUCAGUGAAAUUGAACUCGCUGUGAAGAUGCAGUGUACCCGCGGCAAGACGGAAAGACCCCGUGAACCUUUACUAUAGCUUGACACUGAACACUGGUCCUUGAUGUGUAGGAUAGGUGGGAGGCUUUGAAGCGUGGACGCCAGUCUGCGUGGAGCCGCCCUUGAAAUACCACCCUUUAAUGGCUGGUGUUCUAACGUAGACCCGUGAUCCGGGUUGCGGACAGUGUCUGGUGGGUAGUUUGACUGGGGCGGUCUCCUCCCAAAGAGUAACGGAGGAGCACGAAGGUUGGCUAAUCCUGGUCGGACAUCAGGAGGUUAGUGCAAUGGCAUAAGCCAGCUUGACUGCGAGCGUGACGGCGCGAGCAGGUGCGAAAGCAGGUCAUAGUGAUCCGGUGGUUCUGAAUGGAAGGGCCAUCGCUCAACGGAUAAAAGGUACUCCGGGGAUAACAGGCUGAUACCGCCCAAGAGUUCAUAUCGACGGCGGUGUUUGGCACCUCGAUGUCGGCUCAUCACAUCCUGGGGCUGAAGUAGGUCCCAAGGGUAUGGCUGUUCGCCAUUUAAAGUGGUACGCGAGCUGGGUUUAGAACGUCGUGAGACAGUUCGGUCCCUAUCUGCCGUGGGCGCUGGAGAAUUGAGGGGGGCUGCUCCUAGUACGAGAGGACCGGAGUGGACGCAUCACUGGUGUUCGGGUUGUCAUGCCAAUGGCACUGCCCGGUAGCUAAAUGCGGAAGAGAUAAGUGCUGAAAGCAUCUAAGCACGAAACUUGCCCCGAGAUGAGUUCUCCCUGAGACCUUGA
rnacentral:rRNA from 1 species